rnacentral:ncRNA from 1 species
CUAACGCGUUAAGUAUCCCGCCUGGGGAGUACGUUCGCAAGAAUGAAACUCAAAGGAAUUGACGGGGGCCCGCACAAGCGGUGGAGCAUGUGGUUUAAUUCGAUGCAAAGCGAAGAACCUUACCAGGGCUUGACAUGCCAUGAAUCCUCUUGAAAGAGAGGGGUGCCCUCGGGAACGCGGACACAGGUGGUGCAUGGCUGUCGUCAGCCUGUGCCGUAAGGUGUUGGGUUAAGUCUCG